rnacentral:tRNA from 1 species
AGCCCUGCAGUCGUCGAAGACGUCAGAUUGCAAAUCUGAAGGAGCAUGCUAACGCCUGCCGGGGCUU